CAUACUGAAAAAGAUUUAUGUUGAUUAAAAACUUAACAUUUUUCAAUACAGGUGUUGCACGACUGUCGUCAGCUCGUGUCGUGAGAUGUUGGGUUAAGUCCCGCAACGAGCGCAACCCUUGUUUUUAGUUGCCUUAGGAACUCUAAAAAGACUGCUGGUUAUAAACCGGAGGAAGGUGGGGAUGACGUCAAGUCAGCAUGCCCCUUACACCCUGGGCUACACACGUGCUACAUUGGGCGAGACAAUGAGAUGCAAAUCUGCGAAGAAUAGCUAAUCUAUAAACUCGUUCUAAGUUCGGAUUGUAGGCUGCAACUCGCCUACAUGAAGGUGGAAUCGCUAGUAAUCGCUGGUCAGUACACAGCGGUGAAUUCGUUCCCGGGCCUUGAACACACCGCCCGUC
rnacentral:rRNA from 1 species